ensembl:misc_RNA 7SK 7SK RNA
UGAUGUGAAGGGCAAUCUGGCUGCGAAUUCUGUCACCAGAUUGAUCGCCAGGGUCGAUCAGCUGAUCUGGCUGGCUAGGUGGGUGUCCCCUUUCUCCCUCACUGCUCCACGAACAUCCCUCUCAAAGCUGUGUGCUCCGUAGAAAGGACGGCCAUCCCUGAUAGAGGAGAACCGGUCUUCAGUCAAGGGUAUAGGAGUAGCUGUGCUCCCCUGCUAGAAUCUCCAAACAUGCUCUCAAGGUCCUGUCUACUUCUUAAUGGCUAUGAUCUAAGGACCAUAAUUUGAAGCAAGCCUGAGGAAGAAAAGUUGAUGAGAUUCUUUCUAUUUAUUUUUUAAUUGUGAAAAUAUCUUA